GGAGAGUGGCGCCCAAUGUUUGUUUGACCUGAAAACGGAUUCGAAAUCCGUUGUACCUUCACCGGUACCUAGGGUUCGAAUCCCUAUCUCUCCGCCA
rnacentral:tRNA from 1 species